UAACCCCUGCGGUGUUUGUACGGUAAAGUAAUGGUUUGAAGGAACCGAUGCCCGUUCUGAGGGAAGUCAGGUCUCCUUGAUCCGGACACGCCUGCUUUGACAGGACUUUCGGACUGAAGCAACGACUGCCCACCUUACAGUAAUGGGUUCUCUUCAAACACUUUCCUACGGCACUCGCGGAGGCGCC
rnacentral:other from 1 species